rnacentral:rRNA from 1 species
UACGUAGGGUCCAAGCGUUAAUCGGAAUUACUGGGCGUAAAGCGUGCGCAGGCGGUUAUGUAAGACAGAUGUGAAAUCCCCGGGCUCAACCUGGGAACUGCAUUUGUGACUGCAUGGCUAGAGUGUGGCAGAGGGGGGUAGAAUUCCACGUGUAGCAGUGAAAUGCGUAGAUAUGUGGAGGAAUACCGAUGGCGAAGGCAGCCCCCUGGGCCAAUACUGACGCUCAUGCACGAAAGCGUGGGGAGCAAACAGG